CUUAUAACUAAAACUUUUGUGCAAUGCUUGCGGUUUUCUUUCCAGUAACAACCCAAUAACUUAUUGUGUUGUUAAGCUUAACAAUUACAAUACUAUAUUGUUGAUAACGUGCGGAACGGGUGCUGGGAAACACCGGCGACUUUUGCACGAAAAUCAGUACAUUUGGAUCCAGUACUCCGCUCGACAUUUAUAAAUAGACAUUACUGCCGUCAAACAUGAAUUAUGCCGUUGUUUAAGCUUAUUACGACUUUAGUUCUUCAAAGAACACUUGCCAUGGUUUUGAAUUGUUGUAAGAUACUGGUAGUGAUUUAUUUUAACUUGUUUAAUUACGGUAAAUCAUGGAUUGUUGUGUUAUUUUAAAUUUUAUAGGCAACGGCUU